CAACUCAGUAUGAAUGGUGGAGCGCCAGAAGGACUGCUCUUAUGCAGAAAUGACAAAAGUUGGGAAGAGAAACAGAGACAGAGACAGAGGGAGAGGGCGGGCAAAUACUUUGCUGUGUGUUCAGUGAAUUUUAGUCCCGCAGUGCAGAACUUUGAAAGUGAUCAAAUGUGCCCGUGCCAAAUACUGGUGCAAACGCGCGCCUUGCAAAAGUUGGCGGAGCUGAAAGAGACGGAAAAGACGUGCACAGUUUGCUCCUGGCUGUCAGUGAUGUGGGCUCUUUUCAUUUUCUGUUUCUCUGCCCUUCUCUAAAUCUCCUUUCCUUUUUGUAACCUCUUUUCUCUUGAUUCAACCCUGACCUUUGGGGGUAACUAAGUGUGUGUGUUAGUGUGUCUGUGUGAGCAGCACACUCAGCAAUGUGUGUGGGAAGAUAACUGGCUUCCUUCAGCGUGAUUAAAACAUUCCUUCUCUCUUCUUUUUCCUCUCUCCUCUCUCCUCCCUCUCUCUCUCUGCCCUUCUUAGUCGUCAGUGAAGACUUUCUGAUGAAGAGGAGGAUGAAGACAGACUAACUGGUCCUCUGGAACCAAUGAGUAUUUUGACAACUCUAUCCUCUGGAAGCUGGACAACUCCAAAGCAGUGUCCUGAACAAUAGGGGGAACUCCAGUCAGUAACUCCAGUCAUCCAUGAAAAGAUGAUUCAUAAAAUGAGGCUAAGGCUCAGGACCAUUGAUUUCCAUUACAUUCAUCCAUCCUGACAACAGGGUGGGAGAUCAUCAAACCAAAGCUCAUGUAUAUGCUAAGAUGUUGCUGAGUCACAUUGGGAUCUCGACAUCAUCAUCAUGGGACGGGGAGGCUGGUGAGCAGUGACCACAGGCAGCGGCAGGAGAGGCGAUGCCUUUGUUUUAUGGUUUGCAGCUGCUGGUACUUGGCAAAAGAAGUUACCCCGGUGGAGUUGCUUCAGCAAAUAAUUUUCUGAAAUGUUGAAAGAAAAAAAAAUAGAGAAAGCUUGAGGCUAGAUUUUUAUUGUCACUCUGCCCCAAAUGAGCAUUAAACACCUGCUUGAGGUUGGUAGCGGGUUGAGGUUUUUUCUGGCUUUACAAACUGUUUUCCGGCUUGUGGGCUGAUAAAGAUGCAAAGAGUCCACACACAGUCAUGUUAUGCUGACACUGUUGAAAUCCCAGCAAGUGGUGCAUGCAGCAAAAACACACAAGUACAGGACUACUUCCCCUUUGAAGUCAUUGGCUUUUUUAUUUAUGGUAACAAAGUUAAUUUCUAUACCAUAGAGAGAAGUUAGAAAACUACCAGGAAGUGCUGAUGCGGGGCCCUUUCUCUCUGGACCGCAACACUUUGUUUUCAAAGAUAAUUUUAUAAAACGUCAAGCAUUGACAUACAUUUCUAUUUCUUCUGAUUUUAGCAGGCAUAAAAGGACUUUCAUUGACUUUUACAAAUGUACAACUGUUUUUACUCAUUUUGUUCUGCUGUUUUUCUGUUGUCAGCAUUUCUCUCACCUUGUAACUGGUCUGUUUGAGUACUUUUAAUGAUUACCAGUAAAUAAUUUUGAACUUUC